CUUUUGGUAGUAUAAGUAGUACACCAGUGGAAUACUGGGAGUGGGGAUUUAGAUUUCCCCCCCGGCGC
rnacentral:tRNA from 1 species